CCAAAAUCUCCCCAAUUUGGAGGUCUCAAGUUUGGCAAGUAUGCUGUGACUUUAAAUGUAUUUUUUAGUGUUAUUUGUAAGUGUUUAAAAACUGUAUUACCCACAAUGUUCUACAGGUGGAGCAUUUUGGCACAAGAUGCAGAGCCUUCAAAGGCGGCAUCAAAAUGGCGCCGGGUAGUCACGUGAGGAGCUUUUGACCAAUCAUAUAGAAGAUCUUCUAGCCAUAGUCUCUCUUAUUGGUCAGAAUCCCCUUAGUAAAAAUAGGGCGCCAUAUUGAGGCAACUAUGAAACCAAGAUGGAUAAGAACGCUGUUCCUUAUAAGACCCAGCUAUAAUUUUCACCUGAGGAAUUCUGCUCUUGUUUUACCUGCUCCCUUCUCCAGUACAUGAUCCAUUACUGUCUACUCGGGCAAUGAAUCUUUGGGCACGAUUCGAUUCUUUACCUCCGUGUCUCCGCAGUGAGCCGUGCGCCUCACCUGCCGAUCUUCCCCCUGGACUCUGACUGCCUUCCUCGACCUCCGCACUCGGACCUGGACUUCUGGACGCCUCUCUCCUGCCCCCACGGACCUCGCUCGGAUCACGAACCUCUUUUGCUUCGCCCCUCUGGACUUCUUUGCUGCAACAACCAACACACACUUACAAUAACCUCUGGUAACUUAUAUUUGGUUAACUUCUACACAUAGCCCUGCAUCCACACACAUAGUAGCAUACACUCCCGACGUAAUCAUCAAGCUCAAAUAAAACCCGUUGAGCUAGACCUCCUGCUGUCGUACCGUCUCCUUCCCCCUUCGUCUUACGUAACAGUACCGGUACCAAAAUGUAUUUUGAUACUUUUCUAAAAAAAGGGUACCACAAAAAAUUGCAUUAUUAGCUUUAUUUGAACAAAA